AAGUGAACGGAGGGAAAGAAAUUGCUGUCAUUACUUUUCAAGAAAGGAGGUAUGCAAAUUUUCGACAGAAAGAUUGCGUUCAUAAUGGGCCUGGUAAAAUACAAGGAUCAUGCUUGACAGAUGGGAAACCAUCUUCUGCAAGGAUUUCUGCUUGGGAGGUGUCUAAAACUUGUACUGUGCUAUCCGAAAACAGAAACAACAUCUCAAACAAACAGAAACAGAAACUGUCAUUCCAUCUCAAAGAAGAGACCACCAGGACUCUUCCAGGUACUCUUCUUUUUCCCCUCUUGGAAUUCAUCAUAUUCAUAACUGGGAUUUUAAAUUAAGUUAAACAGUCUUUAUUUUAGGAUGGUUUGAAAAACUAGUCUU